CAGCCGCCGCGGUAACACGGAGGGUGCAAGCGUUAAUCGGAAUUACUGGGCGUAAAGCGCACGCAGGCGGUUUGUUAAGUCAGAUGUGAAAUCCCCGAGCUUAACUUGGGAACUGCAUUUGAAACUGGCAAGCUAGAGUCUUGUAGAGGGGGGUAGAAUUCCAGGUGUAGCAGUGAAAUGCGUAGAGAUGUGGAGGAACACCGAUGGCGAAGGCGGCCCCCUGGGCCAAUACUGACGCUCAUGCACGAAAGCGUGGGGAGCAAACUGGAUUAGAUACCCCUGUAGUCCCUGUCUCUUAUAC
rnacentral:rRNA from 1 species